rnacentral:rRNA from 1 species
AGGGUUUGAUUAUGGCUCAGGAUGAACGCUGGCGGCGUGCUUAACACAUGCAAGUCGAACGAAGUUUUUUGAUUGAAGCCUUCGGGUGAAUUUUGAAAAACUUAGUGGCGGACGGGUGAGUAACGCGUGGGUAACCUGCCUCAUACAGGGGGAUAACAGUUAGAAAUGACUGCUAAUACCGCAUAAGCGCACAGCAUCGCAUGAUGCCGUGUGAAAAACUCCGGUGGUAUGAGAUGGACCCGCGUCUGAUUAGCUGGUUGGUGAGGUAACGGCCCACCAAGGCGACGAUCAGUAGCCGGCCUGAGAGGGUGACCGGCCACAUUGGGACUGAGACACGGCCCAA